UAUAAAUUCUUCCCAAAGUUCAUAAAUCAUAAUGUACCGGGAAGACCAGUUGUUGAGGGGAAUACAUUUGUUUGUACAUAAGUUUGUUGAUGUACAUUUGCGUCCUUUAGUGGUUAAUAUUCCAUCGUAUUUACAAGACACAAGCUACUUUAUAAAUCUUUUAUUGUUGGUACCUAUUUAGUUUCUUUGGAUGUGGUUAGCUCAUGUACAACCAUCCCACAUGAAUAGGUUUGGAGUCUUUGAGGUUUUAUUUAGAUCUUUGUGAAGAUAUUAACUCUCCACCUGCUGUAUUGGUAUAUAUGGCAAGAUUGAUUCUUACUAAAAAUUAUUUUCUGUAUGACAAUGAUUGCUAUUUGCAAACACAAGGUAUUGCGAUGUGUUCUUCUUUCACACUGGAUUUAGCAAUUGAAUUUAAGCAAGGAGGAAAGGUUAGUGUUUUUCAACAACCCCUUCUCCAGUAAACUUCUGUUUUAUCAGAGAUAUUUCAACAGCAUUUUUAUACUUUUCAAGGGCUCACAGGAGGAAUUACAAUCUUUUUACAUAUAUAUGAAUAGUUUUUGUGGUUUGAUUAAAUGCAAUAUGUAGUGUAAUGAUGGAGAGCUUCCAUUUCUUGAUACUAAAGUUUUGAAAGUUGAUCAAACCUUAAAGGUGUAUCGUAAACUGACAGAUAGAAACAGUCUAAUACGUGCUUCAAGAAGCCAUGUUGGACCAUUAUAGCAGGGUUUACCCUGUUCUUAAGAUUUAAACGUAUUUGUUCUUAUAGAACAGACUUUGAUCUUGCGUCAAGAAAACUGUAUGAUCCAUUUUUAGCAUGAGGAUAUAAAAGGCUGGAUUCAGCCUUGGAAAAAGUGAAUAAUUUAGAUGAUGUUUCGAUUAAGGAAUUGUAGUGGGGUGGAGGUAGUACUGGUAGUGGCUCUAUAUUAGGCUUGUUUAGUACUACAAAUGUGUUGGACUACAAAUCCCAUGAGUCCAAGUACUGUUAAGAGGAUAUCCAACUUUUUGGCCUUCCUAUUUGUGGUACCAUGUGCCAAGCAGGAGAAGCUGUGUGGCAUGUUUCAAGGCUGUGUGAUGGAUGAAACGACUAGUUGCCUUGUGAACAGGGUGGAGUGUGCUUACUGGAGAUAUACUGAUGGGUGUCUCAGAGAAUUGAGUAGAUUUAUUCAAUAACAAAGAUGAUGCGUGAUUGUCGUUUACUUUUAUUGAAAAUAUUGGAGGCUUGAUGUUAGGUCGUAAGAUAUGACUUUAAAUGUUAUAAGUGGCUUGAAUUUGUGAGAUUGUGUUUUUGUUUUGUUUGAACCAGCAAACAGCAGGGUUCCCAAUUUCUUACACAUAGUUGACUCUGUAAAGGUGAGAGGGAGCAAUUUGUAGUGGUCUGAGUCAAGUGAGUGUUGGGUUUUGACACUUGUAGUGUUAUUUGGUUUCAUGCUGUGAUUGUGAGUAUUUUUUUUUUUGUUUUU